rnacentral:rRNA from 1 species
CCUACGGGUGGCAGCAGUGAGGUAUAUUGGUCAAUGGGCGGAAGCCUGAACCAGCCAAGUAGCGUGCAGGAUGACGGCCCUACGGGUUGUAAACUGCUUUUAUACGGGAAUAAAGUGCUCUACGUGUAGGGUUUUGUAUGUACCGUAUGAAUAAGGAUCGGCUAACUCCGUGCCAGCAGCCGCGGUAAUACGGAGGAUCCGGGCGUUAUCCGGAUUUAUUGGGUUUAAAGGGAGCGUAGGUUGUUUGUUAAGUGAGCGGUGAAAUGUCGAGGCUCAACCUGGGGGUUGCAGCGGAUACUGGAGGACUAGAGACCGGAUGAAGCAGGCGGAAUGCGUAGUGUAGCGGUGAAAUGCUUAGAUAUUACGAAGAACACCGAUUGCGAAGGCAGCUUGCUGGGCCGGAACUGACACUGAUGCACGAAAGCGUGGGGAUCGAACAGGAUUAGAUACCCUAGUAGUC